AUGAUCAGCCUCGGGUGGCUACAGAUGCUGCAGCCGGUUCAACCUAUGGCCAUCAUAAAGAACAGGAAGGACUUGUACACACCGCCGACUGAAUGUAGUGGAAAGAGCAUGUCCUGCAGGAGAUGGACAGCAAGGCCGCUGACAAGGUCUCUGAACGACGCGCUAGCGGUAGUGGCGGCGGCGACCAAGGCCGUUGGCGAGAAGAUCGCGAUGGAGGAGAAGUUUUAG
rnacentral:rRNA from 1 species